GACGAACGCUGGCGGCGUGCCUAAUACAUGCAAGUCGAACGAGAGCAACCGGUGCUUGCACUGGUCAAUCUAGUGGCGAACGGGUGAGUAACACGUGGGUAACCUGCCCAUCAGAGGGGGAUAACAUCCGGAAACGGAUGCUAAAACCGCAUAGGUCUUCGAACCGCAUGGUUUGAAGAGGAAAAGAGGCGCAAGCUUCUGCUGAUGGAUGGACCCGCGGUGCAUUAGCUAGUUGGUGAGGUAACGGCUCACCAAGGCCGUGAUGCAUAGCCGACCUGAGAGGGUGAUCGGCCACAUUGGAACUGAGACACGGCCCAAACUCCUACGGGAGGCAGCAGUAGGGAAUCUUCCGCAAUGGACGCAAGUCUGACGGAGCAACGCCGCGUGAGUGAAGAAGGUUUUCGGAUCGUAAAACUCUGUUGUUAGAGAAGAACAAGUGCUAGAGUAACUGUUAGCGCCUUGACGGUAUCUAAACAGAGAGCCACGGCUAACUACGUG
rnacentral:rRNA from 1 species